UACAGGGGGUGCAAACGUUGCUCGGAAUCAUUGGGCGUAAAGCGCACGUAGGCGGUUCGUUAUGUCGGAUGUGAAAGCCCUUGGCUUAACCGAGGAAGUGCAUCCGAAACUGGCGAGCUAGAGUACGAAAGAGGAUCGCGGAAUUCCCGGUGUAGAGGUGAAAUUCGUAGAUAUCGGGAGGAACACCGGUGGCGAAGGCGGCGCGCUGGACCACUACUGACGCUGAAGAACGGAAGCUAGGGGAGCAAACAGG
rnacentral:rRNA from 1 species